rnacentral:rRNA from 1 species
CGGUUAUACGAGAGGCCCCAGUUGAUAAUAUCACGGCGUAAAGGGUGGUUAAGGAUUGAAAUUUAAUAAAGUCCAAAUAGCCUUCGGCCGUCAUACGCUUCUAGGUGUUAGAAACCCAAUCUGCACGAAAGUAGCUUUAGCUAUAUCCACCUGACCCCACGAAAGCUGAGAAACAAACUGGGAUUAGAUACCCCACUAUGCUCAGCCAUAAACCCAGACAUUUAAGUACAAUCACAUGUCCGCCAGGGUACUACGAGCAUUAGCUUAAAACCCAAAGGACCUGACGGUGCCUCAGACCCCCCUAGAGGAGCCUGUUCUAGAACCGAUAACCCCCGUUAAACCUCACCACUUCUGGUCAUUCCAGCCUAUAUACCGCCGUCGCCAGCUUACCCUGUGAAGGUAAUAAAAGUAAGCAAAAUGGGUACAACCCAGAACGUCAGGUCGAGGUGUAGCGCACGAAGUGGGAAGAAAUGGGCUACAUUUUCUACUACAGAACACUACGAAUACGCAACAUGAAAUAGUGCUUGAAGGAGGAUUUAGUAGUAAAAAGGAAAAAGAGUGUCCUUUUGAACCCGGCUCUGAGACGCGUACACACCGCCCGUCACUCUCCCCUGUCAAAAUGCAAUAAGCAUAUUUAAUACCAAAGCGCCGACAAGGGGAGGCAAGUCGUAACAUGGUAAGUGUACCGGAAGGUGCACUUGG